GACGAACGCUGGCGGCGUGCUUAACACAUGCAAGUCGAACGAAGUGGCGAACGGGUGAGUAACGCGUAAUCAACCUGCCCUUCAGAGGGGGACACCAGUUGGAAAGGACUGCUAAUACCGCAUACUGAAGGGGGGGAUGGCGUGUGAUUGGCUAGGUGGAGGGGGAACGGCUCACCGAGGCGAUGGUCAGUCGCCGGUCUGAGGGGAUGAACGGCCACAUGGUGACUGAGACACGGCCCAGACUCCUACGGGAGGCAGCAGUGGGGAAUCUGCCGCAAUGGACGAAAGUCUGACGGAGCAACGCCGCGGGAGUGAUGACGGCCUUCGGGUUGUAGAGCUCUGUUAAUCGGGACGCGGUACCGGAAGAGAAAGCCACGGCUAACUACGUGCCAGCCGCCGCGGUAAUUC
rnacentral:rRNA from 1 species